AGCUUUGCACACUGGCAGUAUCAUAGCCAAUGAGGUUUAUCCGAGGCGCAAUUAUUGAUAAUUGAAAACAUUUUCUAUUAAUAUG
rnacentral:snRNA from 1 species